rnacentral:rRNA from 1 species
UACGUAGGGUGCGAGCGUUAAUCGGAAUUACUGGGCGUAAAGCGUGCGCAGGCGGUUCGUUAAGUCAGAUGUGAAAGCCCCGGGCUCAACCUGGGAACUGCAUUUGAAACUGGCGGGCUUGAGUGUGGCAGAGGGGGGUGGAAUUCCGCGUGUAGCAGUGAAAUGCGUAGAGAUGCGGAGGAACACCGAUGGCGAAGGCAGCCCCCCUGGGCCAACACUGACGCUCAGGCACGAAAGCGUGGGGAGCAAACGGGG